CUACGGGGGGCAGCAGUGGGGAAUAUUGCACAAUGGGCGAAAGCCUGAUGCAGCAACGCCGCGUGAGCGAUGAAGGCCUUCGGGUCGUAAAGCUCUGUCCUCAAGGAAGAUAAUGGCGGUACUUGAGGAGGAAGCCCCGGCUAACUACGUGCCAGCAGCCGCGGUAAUACGUAGGGGGCUAGCGUUUUCCGGAAUUACUGGGCGUAAAGGGGGCGUAGGUGGGUUCUUAAGUCAGAGGUGAAAGGCUACGGCUCAACCGGAGUAAGCCUUUGAAACCGGGAAACUUGAGGUCAGGAGAGGAGAGG
rnacentral:rRNA from 1 species